rnacentral:rRNA from 1 species
CGAGCGAACAGACGAGGAGCUUGCUCCUCUGACGUUAGCGGCGGACGGGUGAGUAACACGUGGAUAACCUACCUAUAAGACUGGGAUAACUUCGGGAAACCGGAGCUAAUACCGGAUAAUAUAUUGAACCGCAUGGUUCAAUAGUGAAAGACGGUUUUGCUGUCACUUAUAGAUGGAUCCGCGCCGCAUUAGCUAGUUGGUAAGGUAACGGCUUACCAAGGCAACGAUGCGUAGCCGACCUGAGAGGGUGAUCGGCCACACUGGAACUGAGACACGGUCCAGACUCCUACGGGAGGCAGCAGUAGGGAAUCUUCCGCAAUGGGCGAAAGCCUGACGGAGCAACGCCGCGUGAGUGAUGAAGGUCUUCGGAUCGUAAAACUCUGUUAUUAGGGAAGAACAAAUGUGUAAGUAACUAUGCACGUCUUGACGGUACCUAAUCAGAAAGCCACGGCUAACUACGUGCCAGCAGCCGCGGUAAUACGUAGGUGGCAAGCGUUAUCCGGAAUUAUUGGGCGUAAAGCGCGCGUAGGCGGUUUUUUAAGUCUGAUGUGAAAGCCCACGGCUCAACCGUGGAGGGUCAUUGGAAACUGGAAAACUUGAGUGCGGAAGAGGAAAGUGGAAUUCCAUGUGUAGCGGUGAAAUGCGCAGAGAUAUGGAGGAACACCAGUGGCGAAGGCGACUUUCUGGUCUGUAACUGACGCUGAUGUGCGAAAGCGUGGGGAUCAAAC